CGCGUAACACGUAAGCAACCUGCCCCGAAGACCGGGACAACAGCCCGAAAGGGCUGCUAAUACCGGAUGUGGCCACUAAGAGACAUCUUUUGGUGAUUAAAGCGAUAAUAUCGGCUUCGGGAGGGGCUUGCGGCCUAUCAGCUAGAUGGUGGGGUAACGGCCUACCAUGGCGACGACGGGUAGCUGGUCUGAGAGGACGGCCAGCCGGACUGGGACUGAGAUACGGCCCAG
rnacentral:rRNA from 1 species